AGUCACUGCUAUUGGGAUUCGACUAAGCCAUGCGAGUCGAGAGGGUUCGGCCCUCGGCUGAUGGCUCAGUAACACGUGGAUAAUCUGCCCUUAGGUGGAGGAUAAUCUCGGGAAACUGAGGAUAAUACUCCAUAGAUCUAGGAUGCUGGAGUGCAUUUAGAUUGAAAGCUCCGGCGCCUAGGAUGAGUCUGCGGACUAUCAGGUUGUAGUCAGGAUAAAGACCUGACUAGCCUAUGACGGAUACGGGUUGUGAGAGCAAUAACCCGGAGACGAUAUCUGAGACACGAUAUCGGGCCCUCCGGGGCGCAGCAGGCGCGAAAACUUCACACUGUGCGAAAGCGCGAUGAGGGAAUCCCAAGUGCUUACUCGUAAGAGUAAGCUGUUUCUUUGUCUAAAAAGCAGAGAGAGUAAGGGCUGGGUAAGACGGGUGCCAGCCGCCGCGGUAAUACCUGCAGCUCAAGUGGUGAUCAUUAUAUUGGGCCUAAAACGUCCGUAGCCGGUUUAGUAAAUGCCUGGGUAAAUCGUGUAGCUUAACUAUACGAAUUCCGGGUAGACUGCUAAACUUGAGACCGGGUGAGGCUGGAGGUACUCCUGGGGUAGAGGUGAAAUUCUGUAAUCCUAGGGGGACCACCAGUGGCGAAGGCGUCUAGCUAGAACGGGUCUGACGGUGAGGGACGAAGCCCUGGGGCGCAAACCGGAUUAGAUACCCGGGUAGUCCAGGGUGUAAACGCUGCUUGCUUGAUGUUAGUUGGGCUCCGAGCCCAACUAGUGUCGGAGAGAAGUUGUUAAGCAAGCUGCCUGGGAAGUACGGUCGCAAGGCUGAAACUUAAAGGAAUUGGCGGGGGAGCACAGCAACGGGUGGAGCGUGCGGUUUA
rnacentral:rRNA from 1 species